GACGAACGCUGGCGGCGUGCCUAAUACAUGCAAGUCGAGCGCAGGAAGCCGUCUGAACCCUUCGGGGGGACGACGGUGGAAUGGGCGGCGGACGGGUGAGUAACACGUAAAGAACCCGCCCAUAGGUCUGGGAUAACCACGAGAAAUCGGGGCUAAUACCGGAUGUGUCAUCGGACCGCAUGGUCCGCUGAUGAAAGGCGCUCCGGCGUCGCCCAUGGAUGGCUUUGCGGUGCAUUAGCUAGUUGGUAGGGUAGCGGCCCACCAAGGCGACGAUGCAUAGCCGACCUGAGAGGGUGAUCGGCCACACUGGGACUGAGACACGGCCCAGACUCCUACGGGAGGCAGCAGUAGGGAAUCUUCCACAAUGGACGAAAGUCUGAUGGAGCAACGCCGCGUGAACGAUGAAGGCUUUCGGGUCGUAAAGUUCUGUUGUAAGGGAAGAACAAGUGCCGCAGGCAAUGGCGGCACCUUGACGGUACCUUGCGAGAAAGCCACGGCUAACUACGUGCCAGCCGCCGCCGUAAUAC
rnacentral:rRNA from 1 species